rnacentral:rRNA from 1 species
UACAGAGGUCCCAAGCGUUGUUCGGAUUCAUUGGGCGUAAAGGGUGCGUAGGCGGCGCGGUAAGUCGGGUGUGAAAUCUCGGAGCUUAACUCCGAAACUGCAUUCGAUACUGCCGUGCUUGAGGACUGGAGAGGAGACUGGAAUUUACGGUGUAGCGGUGAAAUGCGUAGAUAUCGUAAGGAAGACCAGUGGCGAAGGCGGGUCUCUGGACAGUUCCUGACGCUGAGGAGCGAAAGUGUGGGGAGCGAACAGG